CUGUGGCUGCUGUAGCUUCCCCCUCACCCUUCUUCCAGCUGCUUCUUAAAGCCAUUUUUAGGACAGGAGAGGACCAUUUCCGCAGACUGAAGGAGGUGCUUGUCGGUUACUUCUGCAGCAGGAGGGUUGACCCACCCUCCAUCCAUUGAGAGCUUCGAAAGCACAACAGAUGAGUCUCUUUGGCAAGAUCUUCACAGUUUCCAAGCAGCUCUUCAUGACAUGAUCCGGAGUCUGGUUGAACGGUCUGGAGGGUUUCUGAUAUAUCUGAAAAACCUCUUCCCAGCGAACACUUAAAUUAGCAGAGGAGCCUCUUCACAGUUUAGAUAAGAUUGAAUAAAGACAACGGAUGCUCAAGCCAUUACUAUGGAGAUUCAACAACCAGGCGUGAACAGGGCCUGAACAACAGCAUCUAUGACAGAGAACAUUUCGGAAGAAAUCCCUUCAUUUUGUCCACAUGUCUACUUCGAAGCUGUGGGAGUCGGAGAGGAGAAGAAGGAGGAGUUGAUGGCUAUAUUGUUUCAUACAGUGUUAUAUUGUACAACAGUGGAGGGGGCGAGGAGAGGAAACUGACCGUAACCUGGAAGAGCAGAGAUGAAGGAAAAGAGCUGCUUAGGGCACGGUGCUUGUCAGGAGUAGAUAGAGUUGCUAUGAGGAAGUUUGUUCUAGUCCUUUUAAGGUUUUAGAAAAUAUUUCUACUUUGAUUUCGCAGAAUUUUAUUACUGAGAGGGAUUUUAGAACUUAUUUGCCACAACUUUUUUCACUUUUUUUUAGUCAGGUAGACAGUUGAGACCCAGAAGGGUCAGCAGUUCCUCCAACUUCACAAGUUGAGUGUAACCAAGUCGCGAUUGGGUCUUUUGAUUCCCUUUCUGAUUCAGCAGUAGCUCAUUGUGGAAUCUUGAGCCUGAUACAUUGCUGGUACUCUGCAAAUAUUUAAUGAAGGAAAGAAUGAAUUCCUGAAUGACUCUGUCUCCCAUAGCUUUUGUUCGUGGACCAUUUUUGUACCCCCAGAUAAAGUCAAAAGAGAUCGUCGUGUGCCUUGCAGUUGGGCACAGAGAUGGAGAAAGCAAAGUUUCUAGUUCUGGAACAGAGACAUCAGAAGAAUGACCCCACUUCUUUUUAAAUUUUCUCUUUGCCAAGGGGGGAAUCAUUCAGCAGAGAUGUGUCUGCUGGGAGGGCCAGGUUCUGAAGUCAGCCACAAGAAGAAAAUCACAGAUAAUCAAAACUUCCCUUGAAGUUUUCUUAGGGAGGUACCAUGCCAAAGCCUGGUGGACUAUUUCUCAGCCAGUUUUCCCUCCAUCAUUGGAGCAGACAGCUGUUUUCUUGUUUGAGUACCAGUGAAGCAGUUAGCUUACAUUUUGAGGUCAUGUAUAUGAAAAAUGUGUAUUUUAAGCAGAAGACUACACAGGGAAGGUCCGUAGGCAUGGAGACAAACCUAGGGCAGAACAGAUUUGUUGGUCCUGUCUCAUGUUCACUCUGGGGCACCUGCUUUUUAAGACCAAUACCCAUUCCCUCUCUCUCUCUCUCUCUCUCUCUCGUAUAUGAUCCAACUUACAAAAGUUUAAUGUAUGUUAGAUUUCACUCCACUGUUCUACCUAGUACAUUGGGAAAGCUGAACUAAAUACUGACCCAGUAUCUAGAAUCAAAAUCUACAUUAAAGGUAUUUACUUUAUCUUGUGGAACUUCUUAGAUAAAGAUGAGAGGUCUAAACUCUAUAAUUAGAUAAUUUUAUUGGCAGUGAUAUGAAUUAUUAUUAUUUUGCUGUGGAGGCUUAAAAAAGAGGAAGUUUUGGUAUAGAUAUGCCUGGGAAAAGGAGAAUAUAUUAUAUGAUGACUGAAUUUAGAGAAAUUUAAAUGCAAAAGGAAAUCAGCCUCUGACAUUCUUGCCCUCUUUUCCCAUCUCUGAAAAAACAAAAACAAAAUCGCUGGUUUACUCAGAGUCCCUCUUUUAAGACUUGAUUCAGACAUCCAAGCCUUCUAUCCUCAAUAGGCUGUUUGUUGCUUUUCCUGCAUCUCUCUCCCUCUUUCUUCCCUUUCUUCCUACCCAUCUCCACUCCCAAUUCUCCAUUCCCAUUCUUUCUUAUGCUGCAGCUUCACUGUGGACACAGACCACAGCGUCAGGGAGGCUUUUUUAAGAAUUUCUUAAACUUACUAAAAAGUAAUAAACUCUUGCAGACAUUACGAAGGAGGACUUUGGACAGAGAUACCUAGCUGAUUUCCUGGAACAAUAGCUGGGGAAUUAUUUUUCGGCUCCAAGAGGAUAAUAUUUUAAGUUGCUAUAUGUUUGCUGAUCCUGGGGAGAGGGUUGGAACAAUCGAGCAUGCACGGGAAGCUUGGGCUCUUGGCCCAGUCGGCUCAGAGUCUAAAUAUUUGGAGGAUGAAUACUUGAAAAUACAUUUAAACAUUUAAAACAUUUUAUUUGUUUUUCCAGGAAGUCGCAUUGUUAAUGCGAUACAAUUCUGCAGCAGGACUCUGUCUGCGGGAGGUGUGAACCUCCUGGACAAGCCCAGGCUCAGGCUCCACCUUAGGCCUUGGUGUGAAGCCAGAGAUGUGCAUGUCUAUUGGCUAAUGUCCACGCCUGUGAAGUGGGUUAUUAUUACAAUCGCUCACCUUGUUCUAAAGUCUAAUGCCUGUGUUCUAAAGUCAUCCUAAGGGUCUGACCCAACUCUGCACUAAAACCAAGAAUGGAACUUCACACACACACACACACACACACACACACACACACACACACACACCAUUUUCCAAAUCAAAUGCUGCAAUGUUUAUCUUCUUUUGUCAGUGCUGCCGCUUUAUUAUUAUUGCCAGCUUCCAGCUCUACACAGAUGGUCAUCUGUGGUCAGUUUUCCUCUCCUGCCUACGAGGCAACAUACCUUUGGGCUGGUAUACGCUUAGAGAAUUCAAACUAAUAUGAAUGCAUUCGAUUAUGUAAAAUGUAAUUAGGAAAGCAAAUUUGUUGUAAAAGCAGCCUAUGUGUUUAUAUAACUUACAAUCAAUUAGAAGCAACUGGGGGAUUUUCAAUGUUCUUUAGACACACAGAUAUAUUCCAGGACCUCAAUUAUGUCAACUAUUUGCCUAUCUCAAUCAAAUGGUCUAGAUAAUUGCCAAAUAUCUACUUUGCUAUGCUAUCAAGUCCCAAACUCUCAUUGUCUCGGUGGAAUGGAAGUGAGAAUCACCUUCACUUCUAAAAUUUGAAGUAGAAAGCGCUGGGGAGGGCUGAGGUAGAGAGUAGCAUGGGUGUGCACCCGACCUGGUAAUUGCCAUGGUAAGGUGUCUUAGACAACAUGAUAAUAACUCUCUCGAUAGAACUGGGGAUGCGGUAGCAACAGUAAAAAUUAUAUUAAACUGGGCCCGAUGCCCAGACUAUCAGCCUCAGAUAAACAAAAUAUAAGAGAAGCAUUUCAAGAGGGGCUAACUUGUGAAUCAAGGAAGCUAAAACAGGCCAGAGAGGUGCUCGCUUGAGGAGACAAUGCUUUCACCUCCUUGAAAAAGCUGUGCCCAACCUAAUUAAAAUGCCCAAUCUAAUUAAAAACCUAACCAUAAUCUCCCCGGUGGCCCUUCACUCCACCCCUUUCCAUUGUUAAGAUGCUAAUAGGGUCGCUUAGCUGAAAAAUUAUUAAACCAGAGACUAUUUGAGCACACGCGCGUAAUCCCCAGCCUAGUGAAUUGGAGCGAAGAUGCUAGUGAUUUGUACAGCGAUGGUGGUGUCUCCCUCAGCAAUGAUGUAUGACAUGGAUUAGGGCAGAGCAGCCAUCUGCUGUUGAGGAGGGUGAUAGAAUCUGUUCCACAGCGGCAGAUGACUCCCCAGUGCUGGCCAGCUGGCUCAGAGUGGACGAAGUUGGGCAGGGUAAGUGAUGCCCCAGCGACCCUCUGGGGAAAUAACUCCGGGACCUCUCCCUUAGGUGCCUAUAUUUGUCCCUGCUGGCUUCAUGCAUACACAUAUGUCAUAGAGCUGAUAUGAUGCAAUACACUUUAGAACAUGGAGAAGAAGGAAGAAGCACAUACCCACCAUAAAGUUUAAAAGUUGCUGGUCUUGAGCAUGAGAUGUGCCCUUGAGUCUCACGGUAGCCUGGACAAAAAGAGGAAACCUGAUAAAUCUUAUAGCUCACACUAUCUGGGAAAAGAAGCAAGUCACUUUCUUAGAAGAAAUAAAGUUUUUUCUUACUUUUUCACGUUUAACUUGAUAAAGAGGAGAAAUUGAAUUUCUCAGGGUGUAUAUUAGAAAAUCAAACUGCUAGAGUGCUUGACCUAUUUACAGGGAAAGGACCAGAACGUGGAUUCUCCAGUGACUAAUGAGAAAUAGGUAGCGCUCAGCAGUUCCCUAAUAGGAUUGUGAUUUUUACCUUUUUCUCUUUGCAUAUCUGUAUUUUCUAAAAUUUCCACCAUCUGGGACUUCCCUGGUG